rnacentral:SRP_RNA from 1 species
GAUCAGGUCAUACGCAACGGAAACUUGCAAACCCCGUCAGGACCGGAAGGGAGCAGCGGUAGUGAGAUCUUUCGUGUGCCGUAUAUCCCCUGAUUGGA